UGCUCUAUACAGACAGAACCAUAUGUCUUUACCAUCUCAUCCAUCCACCAGGGGCCCAGUAGGAUCAUUGGAAGUACUUCUCUUUACUCUACAAUAUAGUAUUCACUAUAAGGUUUAGUUUAAUCAUGGAAAACUUUGCAAAAAUCCUGAACAGCUCCAACUGUUUCUUGUAGAUUUUACCAUGAAAUCUAUGUCACACCCACGUUGGAGAAAUUCUCAGACAUAUGUUUG